GAAAUGCGAUAAGUAAUGUGAAUUGCAGAAUUCAGUGAAUCAUCGAAUCUUUGAACGCACCUUGCGCUCCUUGGUAUUCCUUGGAGCAUGCCUGUUUGAGUAUCAUGAAAUCUUCAAAGUAACUCUUUUGUUAACUCAAUUGGUUUCUACUUUGGUAUUGGAGGUCUUUGCAGCUUCACACCUGCUCCUCUUUGUUCAUUAGCUGGAUCUCAGUGUUAUGCUUGGUUCCACUCGGCGUGAUAAGUUAUCUAUCGCUGAGGACACUGUAAAAGGUGGCCAAGGUAAAUGCAGAUGAACCGCUUCUAAUAGUCCAUUGACUUGGACAAUACUUUUAUGAUCUGAUCUCAAAUCAGGUAGGACUACCCGCUGAACUUAAGC
rnacentral:misc_RNA from 1 species